GACGAACGCUGGCGGCGUGCCUAAUACAUGCAAGUCGAACGCAGUGGGUACGGGUGAGUAACACGUGGGUAACCUCCCAUCAGAGGGGAUAAAACUUGGAAACAGGUGCUAAACCGAUACUGAUGGAUGGACCCGCGGUGCAGUAGCUAGUGGGUGAGGUAACGGCUCACCAAGGGCACAAUGCAUAGGCGACCGGGGGGGGUGAUCGGCAACACUGGAACUGAGACAAGGACCGGACUCACACGGGAGGCAGCAGUAGGGAAGGUUCGGAAAUGGACGAAAGUCUGACCGAGCAAAGCCGCGUGAGUGAAGAAGGUUUUCGGAUCGUAAAACUCUCUUGUUAGAGAAGCGGUAUCUAACCAGAAAGCCACGGCUAACUACGUGCCAGCCGCCGCGGUAAUAC
rnacentral:rRNA from 1 species